UUCCCUGUGGCUCAGUUGGUAGAGCAUGGUGUUUGCAACACCAGCAUGGUGUGUGCAACGCCAGGGUUGUGGGUUCGAUUCCCACGGGGGAUC
rfam:Salmo salar isolate Sally breed double haploid chromosome ssa03, whole genome shotgun sequence.